CCUACGGGUGGCAGCAGUGGGGAAUAUUGGGCAAUGGACGCAAGUCUGACCCAGCAACGCCGCGUGAAGGAAGAAGGCUUUCGGGUUGUAAACUUCUUUUAAGGGGGAAGAGCAGAAGACGGUACCCCUUGAAUAAGCCACGGCUAACUACGUGCCAGCAGCCGCGGUAAUACGUAGGUGGCAAGCGUUGUCCGGAUUUACUGGGUGUAAAGGGCGUGCAGCCGGAGAGACAAGUCAGAUGUGAAAUCCACGGGCUCAACCCGUGAACUGCAUUUGAAACUGUUUCCCUUGAGUGUCGGAGAGGUAAUCGGAAUUCCUUGUGUAGCGGUGAAAUGCGUAGAUAUAAGGAAGAACACCAGUGGCGAAGGCAGCCUGCUGGACUGUAACUGACGCUGAUGCUCGAAAGUGUGGGUAUCAAACAGGAUUAGAUACCCCUGUAGUC
rnacentral:rRNA from 1 species